rfam:Caminicella sporogenes DSM 14501 genome assembly, contig: EJ28DRAFT_scaffold00010.10
UAUUUUGAGAGUUUGAUCCUGGCUCAGGAUGAACGCUGGCGGCGUGCCUAACACAUGCAAGUCGAGCGGAGCUUUAGUUUUUUUAGCUUAGCUGAGGAGAUUAAAGCUUAGCGGCGGACGGGUGAGUAACGCGUGGGCAACCUGCCCUGUGCAGGGGGAUAACACAUCGAAAGGUGUGCUAAUACCCCAUAAGACUACGAUGUCGCAUGGCAUAGUAGUAAAAGCUGAGGCGGCACAGGAUGGGCCCGCGUCUGAUUAGCUAGUUGGUAGGGUAACGGCCUACCAAGGCAACGAUCAGUAGCCGACCUGAGAGGGUG